rnacentral:lncRNA from 1 species
GGAGCGCAUAGCAGCAGCAGCGUCGUGACGGGAGGGGGCUCGGAGGGAACCUCUGGGAUUUCCACACGCAGAGGCCGGGAAAGAGCAGAAGUGGCAGAGAUAGAGUUAACUGACUCCCGGCGCGCCUUGAAGUGGGGGAGCGGGAGGGGGCCGGCUGCUCUUUCCCCUUAGCAGCAAUCAGCGCCUGGCGCGGUGCCAGGCGCAUGGAAUGGAAUGAACUCUCCGCCCUGUUCCGCUGCUGGACGGCCAGCGCAAGCGAAAGGAGCGCUCGACGGCCGACACCACCUUCUCUUCCUCCUCCUGCCGUCCGUGUGACCGUGUCAGGGCUCCGCCUGGCUGGGGAUUGAGACGACAGGCGAAGCGCCCCGUCCCUUAUCGCUCCCGGGAGGAGACAGAGAAGCCGUUGCCGUCGGGUGGCAAGGAACUAGGCAGCAGUAGGAUCUCGAUCUCGGCUCUUUCUUUCCCUCCGUGCCUAUGGAACUUCUUGCCGGGCUGCGCCGGCCCCGCACCCUUCGGAAUGCUGUUUUUACUCGGCAGAAUUUCUCCCGGGCCGUCCCGCCUCACUCAGCUUUCUCCUGGAUCGAGCUGCCUGUUCCUGGAGCCUCCCGCCGCCGGGCUUUUCCUAGCGCUUCCCGGCGCGCAAGAGCCGCACUUCGGGAAGCACCAGCCGGGCUGGUCAGGUGCCCAAAGACCAGGGAAUAAACUGCGCUUUGACGGCGAAAGACGCCCAGCAUCAGCCACCGUCCUGGCGGGCAGCAUCUAGCAAUCAAGAGUGUAAGCCGAAGGCGAGAAGCCAUAUCCACCCUCUUAUAAACUGGAUCUGUUUUUACCGCUCUCCCGUGCGGUUGGACCCAAAGCUACGAUCGCCCCUAACCAUUGGUAGUGCUGGCUGGAGCUGAUGGAUGACUAAAUCCAAGAACUUUUCAUUUUCAAGGGUUGCGCUUGGCCAACCCCCUGCUUAAACAUUACAGAAAUUCGAAGUUUCGUUCCUGGCAUUCUUUGAAACAGACAAGAACGUUGCUUAUUCGCCGCGUUCCCCCCAAAAAUCCUACUUUGUAACAUCUGUCCUUGUUGAUGUAUAUUAGUGGAAGGAAAAAGAAGUAGUUGGCAAAACGAGCUUUUUAAAGACUACAGAAAACGUACAUGUUAUAUGUAGCAGGUUAUGCUACAAAAACCGCAGGGAAAUGCAAACGGUUAUACAUCAGAACGGGUUCAGAAGUCUAUGGUAGUUUUCCGAAGGAGCUCCAUGCUGGAGACGGAAUCUAAUAAAUGGGAUUUGAAGGGAAGAAAGGGCA